rnacentral:lncRNA from 1 species
AUGAACACUCUGCUUGCGGCCACUCAUUCCAAGCAGAGGGGAAGAGAGCAGGAAAGCCCAGGUCUCUACUGCCACCCGGGUGCAUGCAGUGUGCGUUCUGAUGGGUCCAACCCUGAGCAGAGCAGCUGGGCCACCCCAGAGCAGCUGCGAGCCCUUGGAGAUGGCCCGAGAUUGGACAAGCGCUGGAAUGAGGGCCUGGGCGCUGCUCCCAGCAUCUGCCCUUGGAAGGAGGCAGCGCAGCUGGGGUUUGAGAGAUUUUCCUUCCCCAGCUGAGACCCACUGCAGCCUGUCGUAGGGGUACAGGUGCGGUUUCAGUGAGGAGAUACGGAGACGCUCUACAAUGAGAAGAGCCACACAAAGAGGAUGGGGAGAGGGCAGAGAGACCCCUGAUCUUCCAGGGGCUCAGAAGCUCCCAGCCAGGAUUCAUAGGAAGGAGACCGAUGGAGCAGAAAGCAAGCCCAGGAGGAGCCCUGGCGUUCCCUCCAUAAUCCCUCCCCCAGAGUCACGGAAUGUUAGAAGGGGGGGCACCUUAGAAACGAUCCAGACAUUUGGUUAAAAAAAAGAGAGAGAAAAUGUCCCUUAUCUCUGCUGCUCUUUGUGUUGGUUUCAUUCUCUCAGGUCCUCUGGUAGCUCCUGGGGUUUUGUCAUCCCAACUUCCUAACCAGAAAGAAGAUAGGCCUUCUCUGUCCUGGAUCCAGUGUGAGGGAUCCUGGGAAAGAAUUCUGCAUUGGUUCAGCUUGAGGGUGCUCACCACCCUAGGACCAGUCACGGUGGCCCCGGAAACAGGAUGACCCAGCGCAUAUUUGAUCUACAGGCUAAAGGAUGCAGAAGGAGAAAUGGUUCCCCAAGGCAGAGGAAUAUGGCAGACACAGCCACUGUGUGCAUGGUGAGCUAGGCAAUCACCCCAGGUUGGGUCUACCACAAAGCAAGUUCAUUACAGCAUUCAGAAACACCUGUGUGUUUACUGAUAUGGAAACAGGUGAAUAAAUUAUGGUACCUCUUAUGGAAUCCUGCA